UGGGGUGGGGUGACUGCGUACCUUUUGUAUAAUGGGUCAGCGACUUAUAUUCUGUAGCAAGGUUAACCGUAUAGGGGAGCCGAAGGGAAACCGAGUCUUAACUGGGCGUUAAGUUGCAGGGUAUAGACCCGAAACCCGGUGAUCUAGCCAUGGGCAGGUUGAAGGUUGGGUAACACUAACUGGAGGACCGAACCGACUAAUGUUGAAAAAUUAGCGGAUGACUUGUGGCUGGGGGUGAAAGGCCAAUCAAACCGGGAGAUAGCUGGUUCUCCCCGAAAGCUAUUUAGGUAGCGCCUCGUGAACUCAUCUUCGGGGGUAGAGCACUGUUUCGGCUAGGGGGUCAUCCCGACUUACCAACCCGAUGCAAACUGCGAAUACCGAAGAAUGUUAUCACGGGAGACACACGGCGGGUGCUAACGUCCGUCGUGAAGAGGGAAACAACCCAGACCGCCAGCUAAGGUCCCAAAGUCACAGUUAAGUGGGAAACGAUGUGGGAAGGCUCAGACAGCCAGGAUGUUGGCUUAGAAGCAGCCAUCAUUUAAAGAAAGCGUAAUAGCUCACUGGUCGAGUCGGCCUGCGCGGAAGAUGUAACGGGGCUAAACUGUGCACCGAAGCUGCGGCAGCGACGCUUAUGCGUUGUUGGGUAGGGGAGCGUUCUGUAAGCCUGCGAAGGUGUCCUGUGAGGGAUGCUGGAGGUAUCAGAAGUGCGAAUGCUGACAUAAGUAACGAUAA
rnacentral:rRNA from 1 species